rnacentral:rRNA from 1 species
UACGUAGGCAGCGAGCGUUGUUCGGAAUUACUGGGCGUAAAGAGUGUGUAGGCGGUGCUCUAAGUUCGGUGUGAAAAUCUCCUGGCUCAACUGGAGGUGCGCCGGAAACUGGAGUGCUUGAGCGUGGGAGAGGAAAGCGGAAUUCCUGGUGUAGCGGUGAAAUGCGUAGAUAUCGGGAGGAACACCGGUGGCGAAGGCGGCGACCUGGGUAGAUACUGACGCUGAGGUGGCGAAAGCGUGGGGAGCAAACAGG